GCCACUGGAUUUGAGUAGUGACAUGUAUGGAGGAAGCGAUCAACUUGCAAAACUUAGCAACACGGUCAUGAUAUGUAUUAUAAUAGGUAAUUUUAUGCCAUGACUGUACUGCUAAGUUUUGCAAGUUGAUCGCUUCCUCCGUACAUGUCACUACUCAAAUCCAGUGGCAUCUUCAUUGCUACACUUAACAGCGUCAGCGUAGCGGCAUUGAUAGUGAAGAAUUUGCACAGAAACCAAAGUUUUUGUUUGGAAAUGCAGAGAGAGCAUCGGCAACAAUUGCUAAGAAGCAAAUUAGAGAUGCUAACAUACAUCCGAUCCAUGUCAUUGGGGAUUUGGGCGCGCAACGCUCAAAGCAACAGUGGCUGCAAUUAGGUGAUCGCGACACCAAAUUUUUUUCAUAAAAUGGCAUCGUGGAGAAGGAUUCGGAAUCAUAUUACCUGUGUGCGGGAUGUGGAUGGUAAUGUUCUUACUGAACCAAAGGCUAUUCAAGCAGCUUUUGUGGAUCAUUUCAAGAAAUUAUUUUCACCAUCUGGAAGCUUAGCUGAGGACUCAUCGGAUACAGGCAUGUGAACAGAUGGACACUACAACCACGUUGAGGCUUAUCACGGAUGGAGCAUGAAAAUCGGCUCAGACAGAAGCUGGUGUAGCGUGGGUCUAUGUGGAUCACACAGGGCAGCUCAUAUAUCAAAUGCAGCAAGAGUGAAUCCUCUUCCUUGUACGACAGCAGCAGAAGCAAUUGCCUGUCCGGAGGCUUUCGGGCAGGCAGUCUGGGAUUUCAAUGUUAAUUAUUCAAACCGAUUGCCAAGUCUUGGUUCACAUCCUUCAGAGUAAAGGCACAAUAUUAGAUUGGCAGAUUAUGUCUAUUGUUAAUGAUAUUAUUAACUCUUAUAAGGAUUUUGAUUAUGUAGGUAUUAGUAAAGUUGAUCCGAAUGUAAUUACACCAGCACAUAAACUGGCAACCGAUGUAAUUAAUGUCAUCAUAUAAUAUUUUGUGGUUGUUCGUUCUCAAAAAAA